UACGAAGGGGGCUAGCGUUGCUCGGAUUGACUGGGCGUAAAGGGCGCGUAGGCGGAUAGUACAGUCAGGCGUGAAAUUCCUGGGCUCAACCUGGGGGCUGCGUUUGAUACGUAUUGUCUGGAGUUCGGAAGAGGGUCGUGGAAUUCCCAGUGUAGAGGUGAAAUUCGUAGAUAUUGGGAAGAACACCGGUGGCAAAGGCGGCGACCUGGUCCGAUACUGACGCUGAGGCGCGAAAGCGUGGGGAGCAAACAGG
rnacentral:rRNA from 1 species